UACGUAGGGUGCAAACGUUGCUCGGAAUCAUUGGGCGUAAAGCGCACGUAGGCGGCUUCGCAAGUCGGACGUGAAAUCCCUCGGCUCAACCGAGGACGUGCAUCCGAAACUGCAAAGCUUGAGUACAGAAGAGGAUCGCGGAAUUCCCGGUGUAGAGGUGAAAUUCGUAGAUAUCGGGAGGAACACCAGUGGCGAAGGCGGCGAUCUGGGCUGAUACUGACGCUGAGGUGCGAAAGCGUGGGGAGCAAACAGG
rnacentral:rRNA from 1 species